rnacentral:rRNA from 1 species
GUGCCAGCCGCCGCGGUAAUACCGGCAGCCCGAGUGAUGGCCGAUAUUAUUGGGCCUAAAGCGUCCGUAGCUGGCCGAACAAGUCCGUCGGGAAAUCCACGUGCUUAACGCGUGGGCGUCCGGCGGAAACCACUCGGCUUGGGGCCGGAGGACUCGAGGGGUACGUCUGGGGUAGGAGUGAAAUCCCGUAAUCCUGGACGGACCGCCGAUGGCGAAAGCACUUCGAGAAAACGGAUCCGACAGUGAGGGACGAAAGCCAGGGUCUCCAACCGGAUUAGAAACCCGGGUAGUCC